CCUACGGGAGGCAGCAGUGAGGAAUAUUGGUCAAUGGACGCAAGUCUGAACCAGCCAAGCCGCGUGCAGGAAGACGGCUCUAUGAGUUGUAAACUGCUUUUGUACGAGGGUAAACGCAGAUACGCGUCUCUGUCUGAAAGUAUCGUACGAAUAAGGAUCGGCUAACUCCGUGCCAGCAGCCGCGGUAAUACGGAGGAUUCAAGCGUUAUCCGGAUUUAUUGGGUUUAAAGGGUGCGUAGGCGGUCGUAUAAGUUAGAGGUGAAAUCCCGAGGCUCAACCUCGGAAUUGCCUCUGAUACUGUGCGGCUAGAGAGUAGUUGCGGUAGGCGGAAUGUAUGGUGUAGCGGUGAAAUGCUUAGAGAUCAUACAGAACACCGAUUGCGAAGGCAGCUUACCAAGCUACUUCUGACGUUGAGGCACGAAAGCGUGGGGAGCAAACAGGAUUAGAUACCCGGGUAGUC
rnacentral:rRNA from 1 species